GACGAACGCUGGCGGCGUGCUUAACACAUGCAAGUCGAACGGAAAGGCCCUGCUUUUGUGGGGUGCUCGAGUGGCGAACAGGUGAGUAACACGUGAGUAACCUGCCCUUGACUUUGGGAUAACUUCAGGAAACUGGGGCUAAUACCGGAUAGGAGCUCCUGCUGCAUGGUGGGGGUUGGAAAGUUUCGGCGGUUGGGGAUGGACUCGCGGCUUAUCAGCUUGUUGGUGGGGUAGUGGCUUACCAAGGCUUUGACGGGUAGCCGGCCUGAGAGGGUGACCGGCCACAUUGGGACUGAGAUACGGCCCAGACUCCUACGGGAGGCAGCAGUGGGGAAUAUUGCACGAUGGGCGGAAGCCUGAUGCAGCAACGCCGCGUGCGGGAUGACGGCCUUCGGGUUGUAAACCGCUUUCGCCUGUGACGAAGCGUGAGUGACGGUAAUGGGUAAAGAAGCACCGGCUAACUACGUG
rnacentral:rRNA from 1 species